rnacentral:rRNA from 1 species
CAUGGGUAGCAAACAGGAUUUGGUACCCUGGUAGUCCAUGCUGUAAACAAUAAAUAUUAAAUAUUUGAUCAUUUUAACAUCAAAUAUUAAAAGUUAACACGUUAAAUAUUUCGCCUGGGGAGUAAAACCGCAAGGUUGAAACUCAAAGGAAUUGACGGGAGCUUAUACUUACGGUGGAGCAUGUGGUUUAAUCCGAUAGUCCGCGUGGAAUCUUACCAAUUUUUGACAGUUAUUUAGUUUUGAUUAAAUAAACAGGUGUUGCAUGGUCGUUGUCAGCUUAUGUUUUGAAAUUUUAUAAGUAUAACCCUUAAUUUAAUUUACUAAUAUUUAGAAAAAUUUUUAACUAAAAUUACUAAGUAAGUACUAUUAAUUAGAAAUAUAAAAGUUUUUUUAUAUUUUAUGAGGAUGAAAAUAGAUCGUUAUGACCCUUAUAAAUU